rnacentral:misc_RNA from 1 species
AACACUGUUAACCUGCGGUACCUGCGGAAGGAUCAUUACCGAGUGAGGGCCCUCCGGGUCCAACCUCCCACCCGUGUUUAACGAACCUUGUUGCUUCGGCGGGCCCGCCUCACGGCCGCCGGGGGGCACCCCGCCCCCGGGCCCGCGCCCGCCGAAGACACCUGUGAACGCUGUCUGAAGUUGCAGUCUGAGACACUAGCUCAAUCAGUUAAAACUUUCAACAAUGGAUCUCAGAUCGGA